CACGGACAAAUGGUCAAUUAGACUAAAUGGGUCAAAUGGUGUGGAUAACACCAUUUGGCAAUAACAAUUGACAAUCGCUUGUUGAGUUUUGUGAUUUCAGGAAAUAACAUGUGUUGCGUUGCUUUAAUUAGAAAAUUUAAAGCAAGAAGUAUGUAAACGGGUCAAUACUAUGAUCCGAGCCAGGUGAAGAUGGGAUAAGCGGUUUGAAAGAUACGAAAGUUU
rnacentral:lncRNA from 1 species